UAAAUACUAUAAUGUUAACAGAUUAACAGGAGAGGUCUAGAUACUACAAUGUUAACAGAUUAACAUGAGAGGUCUAGAUACUACAAUGUUAACAGAUUAACAGGAGAGGUCUAGAUACUACAAUGUUAACAGAUUAACAUGAGAGGUCUAGAUACUACAAUGUUAACAGAUUAACAGGAGAGGUCUAGAUACUACAAUGUUAACAGAUUAACAGGAGAGGUCUAGAUACUACAAUGUUAACAGAUUAACAGGAGAGGUCUAGAUAC